GGAGGUGGCCAUGGCGGAGGGGAAACACCCGUACCCAUACCGAACACGGCCGUUAAGCCCUCCCGCGCCGAAGGUACUGCCCUGGAGACGGGGUGGGAGAAUAGGUCGCUGCCUUCC
rnacentral:rRNA from 1 species